GACGAACGCUGGCGGCGUGCCUAAUACAUGCAAGUCGAGCGGACUUGAAGAGAAGCUUGCUUCUCUGAUGGUUAGCGGCGGACGGGUGAGUAACACGUAGGCAACCUGCCUGUAAGACUGGGAUAACUACCGGAAACGGUAGCUAAUACCGGAUAGGUGAUUUUCUCGCAUGAGGGAAUCAAGAAAGACGGAGCAAUCUGUCACUUACGGAUGGGCCUGCGGCGCAUUAGCUAGUUGGUGAGGUAAUGGCUCACCAAGGCGACGAUGCGUAGCCGACCUGAGAGGGUGAACGGCCACACUGGGACUGAGACACGGCCCAGACUCCUACGGGAGGCAGCAGUAGGGAAUCUUCCGCAAUGGACGAAAGUCUGACGGAGCAACGCCGCGUGAGUGAUGAAGGUUUUCGGAUCGUAAAGCUCUGUUGCCAGGGAAGAACGUCUUAGAGAGUAACUGCUCUAAGAGUGACGGUACCUGAGAAGAAAGCCCCGGCUAACUACGUGCCAGCCGCCGCCGUAA
rnacentral:rRNA from 1 species